CUUUUGUGUUUAGGGGUGGUAAAGUGCAUUUGUAAUUUCUGGUUUUGUUCUUGUUUUGUUUUGUAUUUUUUUUAGGAGGAGCGCAGCAUCCAGAGAUUCCUGGUUGUGUCAAGUACAACACUUUUUUCAGCAGAUUCAUCAUGUCACAAGAGGGAUCCGCCCAGUGUCAAGGAUGAUGUCUGAGAUUGAGGCAUCAGGUGCCACUGCUAAUAAAGGCCACAGCCUUGGAAUCAGGAUGAAGCUGGAGCCUGAGGGAGCCAGGCACACUCAGGAGAGGCUAACCAAGAAGCUAACAGGCCAUCACGAGGCGUUCCAAGGCAGACUCAUUUCAGGUGCAACAUGGAUCCACAUCACCAAUCAUCCAAACGAUAAGUUGGGGGCCAGGGCUUGGAGAUGGGAUGAUGGGAGAGUAGCAGGUUGGGAGAUCUUGGGGCAGAUGUAAAAAUUAGCAGAGGGAAAAGCAAACUUGUCCAAGGGCCUCUUAGGACAGCUAAAGGGAGAGGCUCUACUUUUGAUGGCAGCUUUCAGGCGGGCAGUGCAGAACAGCUCUGGUUUGUGUCGUGGUUUCCGGUGUGCCCUGUUCCCUAGUGUGUCUUUGGGGUCCCUUUUGCCUUCUUCCCUCGAGGCCCUCACCACAAGCAUGAUGUGUGGUGUUUAAUGUCCCCCUGUUUGUCACGUUCUGUGUCACGGGUGUCUGCACACAUAUGGGUGCCGGAGCUGUUCUGCCCUGCCGCAUGGCCAGCUGCAAUGGGACAAGCCCUGGGGCCUUGCAGUUUGUGGGGUGUCACUGGACUCUAGAUGCUAUUCCUAGAUGGACCUAAGGUGUUUGCAGCUUGUGAGUCAUCU